rnacentral:rRNA from 1 species
AGAGUUUGAUCCUGGCUCAGGACUAACGCUGGCGGCAUGCCUUACACAUGCAAGUCGUGCGGACCUUGUUUUGCGGAAGCCUUCGGGCCGAAGCAGGACUCUGGUUAGCGGCGAACGGGUGAGUAACGCGUGGGUAAUCUACCUGGAAGACUGGAAUAACACCUCGAAAGGGGUGCUAAUGCCGGAUACGUUCGGAACGUCGCAUGGCGAUCCGAAGAAAGAUGGCCUCUGAAUAUGCUGUCACUUCCAGAUGAGCCCGCGUCCCAUUAGCUUGUUGGCGGGGUAACGGCCCACCAAGGCUUCGAUGGGUAGCCGGUUUGAGAGGACGAUCAGCCACACUGGGACUGAGACGCGGCCCAGACUCCUACGGGAGGCUGCAGUGAGGAAUUUUCCGCAAUGGGCGCAAGCCUGACGGAGCAAUGCCGCGUGCGUGAUGAAGGCCUUCGGGUCGUAAAGCGCUGUCAACCGGGACGAAAGCCCCAUGGUUAAUAGCCAUGGGGGAUGACGGUACCGGUGGAGGAAGCCCCGGCUAACUACGUGCCAGCAGCCGCGGUAAAACGUAGGGGGCGAGCGUUGUCCGGAUUUACUGGGCGUAAAGGGCGCGUAGGCGGCGGAGUCAGUGAUCCGUGAAAUCCCCGGGCUUAACCCGGGAAUGGCGGGUCAUACUGCUUUGCUAGAGAGUGGGAGAGGGAAGUGGAAUUCCUGGUGUAUCGGUGAAAUGCAUAGAUAUCAGGAAGAACACCAGUGGCGAAGGCGGCUUCCUGGCCCAUUUCUGACGCUGAUGCGCGAAAGCUGGGGGAGCGAACGGGAUUAGAUACCCCGGUAGUCCCAGCCGUAAACGAUGUCAACUAGGUGUAGGAGGUAUCGACCCCUUCUGUGCCGAAGUUAACGCAUUAAGUUGACCGCCUGGGGAGUACGGCCGCAAGGUUAAAACUCAAAGGAAUUGACGGGGGCCCGCACAAGCGGUGGAGCAUGUGGUUUAAUUCGACAACGCGAAGAACCUUACCUGGGCUUGACAUCCCGCGCUACCAUGGGAAACCAUGGGUUCCCUUCGGGGACGUGGUGACAGGUGCUGCAUGGCUGUCGUCAGCUCGUGUCGUGAGAUGUUGGAUUAAGUUCCGCAACGAGCGCAACCCUUAUCCUGUGUUACCAGCAUUAAGUUGGGGACUCUCAGGAAACUGCUGGUGUAUAGCCAGAGGAAGGUGGGGAUGACGUCAAGUCAGCAUGGCCUUUAUGUCCAGGGCUACACACGUGCUACAAUGGCCGGUACAACGGGCUGCUACACCGCGAGGUGAAGCGAAUCCCUUAAAACCGGUCUCAGUUCGGAUCGUAGUCUGCAACUCGACUACGUGAAGUUGGAAUCGCUAGUAACCGUGGAUCAGAACGCCGCGGUGAAUACGUUCCCGGGCCUUGUACACACCGCCCGUCACACCACCCGAGUUGAGUGCACCCGAAGUCGCUGGCCCAACCCGCAAGGGAGGGAGGUGCCGAAGGUGUGCUUGGUGAGGAGGGUGAAGUCGUAACAAGGUA